rnacentral:rRNA from 1 species
CAGCCAUAGUGCAGGGUUCCUACAAACUAACGAAAGUCCACGGGUUGUCAACCUCUUUNAACGGUGACCAUGAUUACGGUUUNNUUNGAAGAAGCCCCGGCUAACUUCGUGCCAGCAGCCNCGGUAAUACGAAGGGGGCUAGCGUUGUUCGGAUUUACUGGGCGUAAAGCGCGCGUAGGCGGUUUUUCAAGUUAGAGGUGAAAGGCCGGGGCUCAACCCCGGAACGGCCUUUGAUACUGGAGGACUUGAGUCCGGGAGAGGGUGGUGGAACUCCAAGUGUAGAGGUGAAAUUCGUAGAUAUUUGGAAGAACACCGGUGGCGAAGGCGGCCACCUGGCCCGGUACUGACGCUGAGGCGCGAAAGCGUGGGGAGCGAACAGGAUUAGAUACCCUGGUAGUCCACGCCGUAAACGAUGAGUGCCGGUUGUCGGGAUAUUCGUAUCUCGGUGACGAAGUUAACGCGUUAAGCACUCCGCCUGGGGAGUACGACCGCAAGGUUA